rnacentral:rRNA from 1 species
UACGGAGGGGGAGCUAGCGUUAUUCGGAAUUAUUGGGCGUAAAGGGCGCGUAGGCGGCCCGGUAAGUCAAAGGUGAAAUCCCUCGGCUCAACUGAGGAACUGCCUUUGAAACUGUCGGGCUUGAGGCCGGGAGGGGGUAGCGGAAUUCCCAGUGUAGCGGUGAAAUGCGUAGAUAUUGGGAGGAACACCGGUGGCGAAGGCGGCUACCUGGACCGGUUCUGACGCUGAUGCGCGACAGCGUGGGGACGCAACAGG